UAACCAGUCGCGUAGCCUCUUUUGCUUUAGUUCUCAUCUCAGCCCUAAUUCGCAAAUUCCUCCAAAAUCCCCAAAUCGCCUCCUACAGCAACGCCGCCCGUCACCGCUCGUCUGCCGGUGAGCACGCCGCCGCCUGCAUCCCCUCGGCCGGCCGUUCCUCCUGCAGCUUCUCCGCCGCCGCCUGCAACCCCUCCGCCGGCCGAACCUGCUCCAGCUUCUCCGCCGCCGACUGCAACCCGCAACCCCUCCGCCGGCCGAACCUCGUCCAGCUUCUCCGCCUCCGCCUGUGCUUUCCCCGCUCCCACCGGUUGCACCUACGCCGGCUCCGGUUGCUUCCUCCGUCAUAGAAAUCAGGUCCGUUUCACAAUUUACUCUUUUCCGCAUUUAAAUCUCAUAAUUCGAGAAAUAAAUGUAAGGCAAUUUUAGAUCUGUAGGGAUUUUCACUGAAAAGCAGGACGCCAUUUCUUCCCGUUGAUUUCUCGCUCCCUGCUGCCUGCUUCGAUCUUGUUAUCCUUAUUCAGGUGUUUCCGCUGCCUAAUCUUCAAUUUGUCUUUGUAAGUUCAAGAAGAAGAACGUCAAAAGUUAAGCUGUAAAUACUGAAAAUGUCCAAAAUUUAGUGGAUAAUCCAGCAGCCUGCUCCAUUGUUUUUUCAGAUAAACUGGUUUUUCUUAGCUCAAUUUUUUUUUUUUAAAACCAACAGAAAAAUGCUUCAGCAGGCUUCUUCAUACGAGCUCAUGUAGUCGAAUUUGUCUUGGUAUUGGAUUCUAUUAUUAUUAUUAUACUGGAGAAAUGAAAUUGUUAUAUUUCCUUGAGGUAUGUGAUUGAUGCAGAUUCCUUAAUACUUUUUUGUUAUCAGUUAAAUAUAUCAAGAUAGUCAUUUUCAUAUUAUAAAGAUUAAAUAGCCAUAGAGAUAAAUGCAGAUUCCUUAAUACUUUUUUGUAUUCCUUUUUAUGUUGGUGGUUAGUAUCUUUUAUUAAUGGGUAUUUUGCUAGUUCAGUCUUUUUAUAAUAAUAAUAAUAAUUAAUCUUAUUGUAGUAAACUGUCUAUUGUUUCACAAACCUAUAUACAUUUCGAAACUUUGAAUCAGAUUGUGUAGAAUCACCAGCGAAAUUGGAAUGUUAUUAUUAAGUUAAAAUAUGGAGUAAUCGAAUACUAGUGCUGUAGACUUAAGUUUUGCUUUGGCAUUUAUAGAUGAAUAAAACAUUGAUGUAUAAUAUGCCAUUUUAGGAUAAUAUUGAAUAUUUUGAAUGGCAAUAAGCAGGCGCAGUUUGAGCAGCCCAUCCCUAUUCCCUACUCCCAUUAUCACGUGAGAUGUUUGAUAAGUCGUGUUUGGUCUCCCAAUAAAUUCUAGUUUGAUAUUUAGUGAUCUUGUUAUCCUUAUUCAGGUGUUUCCGCUGCCUGCUUCGAUCUUGUUAUCCUUAGUAUUAAAAAUGCAAGAUUUGAUAUUUAGUGAUCUGUUUGUAUCGAAUAGUGAUAUUAAGUUGGACUUAAUUUUGCUUCAUUAACACUAAUAUUACUCCAUUAUUUUGCAUAUUAAGUUUGCACGAGUAACUAACUAAUUCAAGAAUUAAUUAAGUUUGCAUAUUUACUUGUACUACUACUAGGAUUUCCUUAAAUUGAUACUUGUAUUUUCAUUACAG
rnacentral:lncRNA from 1 species